GGGGGUGUGUGCUGGUAUGACUCUUCCUUCCUUCUCGAGAGCCACGCCUGCUGUUCACUCGGCUGGGCCUGUGCGAUCUAGAUCAUUUACUUUGAAAAAAUUAGAGUGUUUAAAGCAGGCUUAUGCCCGAAUACAUUAGCAUGGAAUGAUAAAAUAGGACUUCGGUUCUAUUUUGUUGGUUUCUAGAACUGAAGUAAUGAUUGAUAGGGAUAGUUGGGGGUGCUAGUAUUCAGUGGCCAGAGGUGAAAUUCUUGGAUUCUCUGAAAACAAACUACCGCGAAAACAUUCACCAAGGAUGUCUUCUUUAAUCAAGAACGAAAGUUGGGGGAUAGAAGACGAUCAGAUACCGUCGUAGUCUCCUCCAUAAACUAUACUGACUAAGGAUCAGUGGACGUCUUAUUUCCACUCCAUGGGCACUUUAUGACAAAUCAAAGUCUUUGGGCUCCGGGGGGAGUAUGGUUGCAAGGGUGAAACUUAAAGGAAUCGACGGAAGGGCACCACCAGGAGUGGAGCAUGUGGCUUAAUUUGACUCAACACGGGAAAACUCACCAGGUCCAGACAUAGUGAGGAUUGACAGAUUGAAGAUCUUUCUUGAUUCUAUGGGUGGCGGUGCAUGGCCGUUCUUAGUUGGUGGAGUGAUUUGUCUGGUUAAUUCCGUUGACGAACGAGACCUCGACCUACUAAAUAGUUGGUUCAAGCCUUCGGCUUUGCGCUCACUUCUUAGAGGGACUAUCGG
rnacentral:rRNA from 1 species